GGUGACUUGCCCGAGUGGUCCAAGGGGUCAGGUUUAGGCCCUGAUAUGUUCGCAUGCGUGGGUUCGAACCCCACAGUCAUCA
rfam:Zancudomyces culisetae strain COL-18-3 scaffold-183, whole genome shotgun sequence.